AUGACAUCCCCAAGCACUCCGAAGGACAAGUUCUUCGAGAAGGUCAUCAACCCCUACCUCACGGAGGUGUUGAAAUGCCCUGAAACCAUUGAGAUGCGUGAGGGGGUGUUGCACAUCCGUGAUGUUCAAGGACCAAAGGGGACCGGAAGCAUGGAGAUGAGGCUCGAAGCAAUGGAGCAACAAGUCUUUAGGUGCCAAGGGAUGGUGGAACGUGGACUCAACUCCAAUCACUCCAUGAUCACGGAAUUUACCCGUGACCAAAAGCUGGACGCCAAGAACAUCGGAGAGGACAUCUUCAAGCAUCAUGAGAAAAUCGAGCAUCUCCGAGCCCAGAUCAAUGACCUGCAAAACCAAAACUGUGAGUAA
rnacentral:rRNA from 1 species